rnacentral:rRNA from 1 species
GAUGAACGCUAGCGGGAGGCUUAACACAUGCAAGUCGAGGGGCAGCAUAGAGUAGCAAUACUUUGAUGGCGACCGGCGCACGGGUGAGUAACGCGUAUGUAACCUACCUUGUACAGGGGGAUAGCCCGGAGAAAUUCGGAUUAAUACCCCAUAAUGAUAUUCAGGGGCAUCUUUGAAUAUUUAAAGUUUCGACGGUACGAGAUGGGCAUGCGUGACAUUAGCUAGUUGGUAAGGUAACGGCUUACCAAGGCUGCGAUGUCUAGGGGUCCUGAGAGGGUGAUCCCCCACACUGGUACUGAGACACGGACCAGACUCCUACGGGAGGCUG